UGUCCCUGCCAUGGCAGGGGGUAAAUGUGGGUGAUCUUUAAGAUCCCUUCCCACCCCAAGCAUUCCACAAUUUUAAUCCCUGCCUUCCUGUAAUCAGAGAUUUCCCACAGUCAGAGAAAUGCCUGAGAGCAGCCUGGAUCUCCUCCUUUUCUUUCUGGUGCAGCUGCUGAGCCAAGGAGGAUCUCUCCAAAGUUUCCAAACUGUUAAAAAUAUUAAAAAAUCAGUAUUUUCCCUGCCUGCCUUCAGCAUGGCAGCUCUGCUGGAGUUCGGGCAGCCUGCACUCCUGGCUGUGCUGUUGCCCCAGCUCUGCCUGGCCGUGGGUUGUUGGUGCUGGCGAGCUCAAAAAUUCCCAAAUGCAGAAAAAGCUCCCAGGGCUCUGCUGGCUCCCUCCUCGGCCUUUCCCCCGCGCAGGGAACUCCUGUGGGGAUCAUUGUUCACUCCAGCCUGGCUCUCUCAUGUCCUCCUCUGCAACACAAUGUGUCUUUAGACCUUCAACUUGCAGGAAAAUCCUGUGCAAUGAAUCCCUUGGGAAAGGCCAAAACCCCCUGGGAAGCUCAAGACUGACAAUGGCUUUUUUGCAGGCCAGUGUCGUUCUCGGUGCAAAGGCUGAUGGUGGGAGCUGGAUCAGGAGGAAUUGCUGGGAUUAAGGGAAGCACCAGCCUGAUUUCCUGAACUUCCUAGGCUGAGAAAUGAACUUUUUUGCAGGUGGUUUGGUGAUUAACUGCCCCUGUGUCAGUUUUUUCAUUUCCAUUCUAAGCAGAGUUGGCCAGGCUGGGUUGAACUUGGAGCAGCCCGGAAUAGUGGAAGGUGUCCCUGCAGGUGGAACUGGAUGGUUUGAAGGUCCAUUCCAACCCAAAACAACCUGUGAUUCCUCUUUUCCAAGGUGAAUGACUUGAUGGAAACCACUUGAACUGAGCCAGCCUUGGAAAUGGUGUAUUUGUAUUUUCUCGGGACUGAUCCGUACAGUGCAAUCCCACCUGACUUGGCAGAAAGCUGAGUGAUAAACUCAGAUUUAUGAAGGAACUCUUUAAAUAGAAACAGCCACGUGUGCUGGACAAAAAUGAGGGCCAAACCCACUGGUGCAGCCUGGCUGUUCCCAAGCAGCCCUGGGAUGUUGGAUGUGUUUAUGAGAUGCACUGGGGAAGCCACAGUGCCCCAUUGCCCUCAUUCCUUUGCAAGGAUGAAGAGGAUAAUUGAUUUAAUGGCUGUGACAGUGGCACGUUGGAUUGCUGGAGGAAUUUCUGUACAAAACCCUGGCAUGCAGGAAGCUCCUGCACCUUUUCCUGUUGCAACCCUGAGCUGCAGUUUCCUGCUGUGUGGCUUUGUGGUGGUUUUAUGUGGCAGGUGACCUGGAAAGAAGGAAACUUUUAUAAACUUCAGCUGUGUGUAACCAGGGUGCUUGUUCCUAAAUCACUUGGGGUUUUUCUGCUUUGGUG